GGGUUGUGAGGUUAAGCGACUAAGCGUACACGGUGGAUGCCCUGGCAGUCAGAGGCGAUGAAGGGCGUGCUAAUCUGCGAUAAGCGCCGGUAAGGUGAUAUGAACCGUUAUAACCGGCGAUACCCGAAUGGGGAAACCCAGUGUGACUCGUCACACUAUCAUUAACUGAAUCCAUAGGUUAAUGAGGCGAACCGGGGGAACUGAAACAUCUAAGUACCCCGAGGAAAAGAAAUCAACCGAGAUUCCCCCAGUAGCGGCGAGCGAACGGGGAGGAGCCCAGAGCCUGAAUCAGCAUGUGUGUUAGUGGAAGCGUCUGGAAAGGCGCGCGAUACAGGGUGACAGCCCCGUACACAAAAGCGCAUGUGCUGUGAGCUCGAUGAGUAGGGCGGGACACGUGGUAUCCUGUCUGAAUAUGGGGGGACCAUCCUCCAAGGCUAAAUACUCCUGACUGACCGAUAGUGAACCAGUACCGUGAGGGAAAGGCGAAAAGAACCCCGGCGAGGGGAGUGAAAAAGAACCUGAAACCGUGUACGUACAAGCAGUGGGAGCACCCUUCGGGGUGUGACUGCGUACCUUUUGUAUAAUGGGUCAGCGACUUAUAUUCUGUAGCAAGGUUAACCGUAUAGGGGAGCCGGAGGGAAACC
rnacentral:rRNA from 1 species